rnacentral:rRNA from 1 species
AGCCAAAUGAUUUAUAUAUUUGGUAUUUUCUGCUCAAUGGUUUAACUAAAUAGCCGCAGUACCUUGACUGUGCAAAGGUAGCAUAAUCAUUUGGCUUAUAAUUGAAGUCUUGUAUGAACGAAUUAUUGGGUAAUAACUGUCUGUUAAAGUUUAAUAGAAAUUAUUUAGCAAGUGAAAAUACUUGUAGAUAACUAAUAGACGAGAAGACCCUAGAAAUUUUAUAUAAUAUAGUGUGUUUAUUAUUAUUUUGUUGGGGCGACAGAAUAACAAAUAACUUAUUUUAUUUGAUUAGCACUAUUUAAUGAGAAAAAUUAAAUUACUCUAGGGAUAACAGCAUAAUUUUUAUAAGUUUGUGACCUCGAUGUUGGACUAGGGAUUUUAGUGUUUAGAAGACACUAAAACAAGCUCUGUUCGAGCUGUAUAUCCCU